rnacentral:lncRNA from 1 species
UCGGGCUACAGUGGAUGCUAAAGAAUGUACCCCUAAUGAUGGGAUUCCAGUAACUGUUGUACCAGGCACUGUUGCCAACCCUCGUGGAAAAGAUCUGUUUGUGUUAGCUAUUCAGGCAUGAAUAUUGGAAUUUGAAAACAAAGAACAUGAUCUAGUAAGCUCAUGGGACUUAUCCUUCCAGAGGAAAAUGUUCCCCGUGUCUACACACUGUCCCGCAGCAGAUGCGCUCACCCUUCUACAACCAGAGGUGUGUUCACGCCAGAUGUGUUCUGUUUAGGGCUGGGGUCAGCAAGUAUAUUUGCGUCUUAGAUAAAAUAACUUAGUGCCAACGUGUGUCUGAGUCACGGAGCCAUGAAUUUGGAUUCCAUACCACCCAGGCAGGCUGAAACUCUGGGUAGAUGUGGAAAGGGUUUAAAGAUAUUUCAGAAUGUCACAAAGAACUGUGAGCUCUGAGAAAACUCUAUCAUGAGUUUAGUGCAAAGUACUUGAGCACAGGAAAUCCCAUCAGAGGAGAGCUCAGUUUGGUCCAGUGAAAUUCCAUGAACAGAAUCCUGAGACGCCUCUGGGCUUCGGUUCAGGUAACUUCAAUACAGAGAAGAGGUUGCAAAAGAAGGUUCUUCUCACCAAGUCAAUCCUAAGCCAAAAGAACAAAGCUGGAGGCAUCACGAUACCUGACUUCAAACUAUACUACAAGGCUACAGUAACCAAA